rnacentral:rRNA from 1 species
UACGUAGGGUGCAAGCGUUGUCCGGAAUUAUUGGGCGUAAAGAGCUCGUAGGCGGUUUGUCGCGUCUGCUGUGAAAAUCCAGGGCUUAACCCUGGACCUGCAGUGGGUACGGGCAGACUGGAGUGCGGUAGGGGAGAUCGGAAUUCCUGGUGUAGCGGUGAAAUGCGCAGAUAUCAGGAGGAACACCGGUGGCGAAGGCGGAUCUCUGGGCCGUAACUGACGCUGAGGAGCGAAAGCAUAGGGAGCGAACAGG